rnacentral:rRNA from 1 species
CGUUGCACUACUGCCGGCGACCCGGCGCACGGGUGAGUAACACGUAUGGAACCUGCCCGCCACACGGGGGAUAACCCGGGGAAACCCGGCCUAAUACCCCAUGCCGCCCGGACCGGGCAUCCGGACCGGGCGAAAGGAGGAAUCCGGUGGCGGCUGGGCAUGCGGCGCAUUAGCUUGACGGCGGGGGAACGGCCCACCGUGGCGACGAUGCGUAGGGGUUCUGAGAGGAAGGCCCCCCACACUGGAACUGAGACACGGUCCAGACUCCUACGGGAGGCAGCAG